rnacentral:rRNA from 1 species
AGAGUUUGAUCAUGGCUCAGGACGAACGCUGGCGGCGUGCUUAACACAUGCAAGUCGAGCGGUAAGGCCCUUUCGGGGGUACACGAGCGGCGAACGGGUGAGUAACACGUGGGUGACCUGCCCUCAGCUCUGGGAUAAGCCCGGGAAACUGGGUCUAAUACUGGAUAUGACUCCACGGUGCAUGUCGUGGGGUGGAAAGCCUUGUGCGGCUGAGGAUGGGCCCGCGGCCUAUCAGCUUGUUGGUGGGGUGAUGGCCUACCAAGGCGACGACGGGUAGCCGGCCUGAGAGGGCGACCGGCCACACUGGGACUGAGACACGGCCCAGACUCCUACGGGAGGCAGCAGUGGGGAAUCUUGCGCAAUGGGCGAAAGCCUGACGCAGCGACGCCGCGUGAGGGAUGACGGCCUUCGGGUUGUAAACCUCUUUCAGCUCCGACGAAGCGGAAGUGACGGUAGGAGCAGAAGAAGCACCGGCCAACUACGUGCCAGCAGCGGCGGUAAUAC